rnacentral:rRNA from 1 species
GACGUAGGGCGCGAGCGUUGUCCGGAUUUAUUGGGCGUAAAGAGCGUGUAGGCGGCUUGGUAAGUCCGCUGUGAAAGUCCAGGGCUCAACCCUGGAAAGCCGGUGGAAACUGUCAAGCUUGAGUCCGGAAGAGGCGAGUGGAAUUCCUGGUGUAGCGGUGAAAUGCGCAGAUAUCAGGAGGAACACCAAUGGCGAAGGCAGCUCGCUGGGACGGUACUGACGCUGAGACGACGAAAGCGUGGGGAGCGAACAGG